rnacentral:rRNA from 1 species
GUUAAGCGACUAAGCGUACACGGUGGAUGCCCUGGCAGUCAGAGGCGAUGAAGGACGUGCUAAUCUGCGAUAAGCGUCGGUAAGGUGAUAUGAACCGUUAUAACCGGCGAUUUCCGAAUGGGGAAACCCAGUGUGUUUCGACACACUAUCAUUAACUGAAUCCAUAGGUUAAUGAGGCGAACCGGGGGAACUGAAACAUCUAAGUACCCCGAGGAAAAGAAAUCAACCGAGAUUCCCCCAGUAGCGGCGAGCGAACGGGGAGGAGCCCAGAGCCUGAAUCAGUGUGUGUGUUAGUGGAAGCGUCUGGAAAGGCGCGCGAUACAGGGUGACAGC